UGCUCUUUGCUUGCGCAACAACUGUCGACCCCUCAUCCGUUUCAUUUUUGCCCCAAGAUCGAGUUUGCUCUUCUUGGUCACGACCCUUGGUUCCUGUGUUGCCUUCCCGUUGUAUGGAAUAAUUCGUGAGUCAGCCCCGCACCUGUCCUCGUUGUGGCUUUGCGGCUCCGAUGCGGACCUCGAAAGCAGUCCCUGCGUCUCGGGCACAUCCUCUGACUUUUGUCGUGGCUGUCUCGGUCCACAGGACAACUGCUCGUGCUCCCGGAUGUGGAAAAUUAAAAGGACGUGGGGGGGUCUCGGCCUCCGGCUGCUCCAAUUUAGUCCCUCGAUAAGAAUGACAAUCGCUACCCCAUCGAUUGCCUGCGGCAUCGAUGCGGGUCCGAAGUCGAGAAAGAAUGCUACCUGGUUGAUCCUGCCAGUAGUCAUAUGCUUGUCUCAAAGAUUAAGCCAUGCAUGUGUAAGUA
rnacentral:misc_RNA from 1 species